UGCGAUGGGCUAAACAAGUGUGCGUGUGGCGGUUAGGGUCUUGAUAAACUUGCAGCCAGAUAACCCAGUUGUUAAAAACCAUGCCAAACCAGGGCUAAGAACAGCCCAGAGGACAAUUCAGAAACAAAAAGUACUUUGAAGGAACACGUAUAGCCCUUCAAGUUUGCAAAUUAUUGU
rnacentral:sRNA from 1 species